ACUUUUAAGAAUGUGUUGUUUUGAGUUUACUAAAAAUAUGUUGUCUCUUUAGAACAGUGACGGAGGCAGUGAAGGAACUUCAGUAUAGGAGAUGGCAUCUCAUUUCUUCACUGUUCUCACAAAGGUGACCAGCUGUGUGACAAAUCCUUGGAAUCUGGAGCUGACCCCUGAGGGAAUAGUACCAGGAAAUUAUGUUUUGGCUUCACUUCUGAAUCAACAAUGAUGGUCGCCAUCUGCAGAGGAUGAGGGAGAAGGAACAGUUUAGCAUGAGUAUCAGCAUUUCUGAGAGUAAUUAUGUGUUUUUAAUUGACACAGUUUAUAUAUAUGUAUAUAUAUAAUUUUAUUAU
ensembl:lincRNA